rnacentral:rRNA from 1 species
AUUGAACGCUGGCGGCGUGCCUUACACAUGCAAGUCGAACGGCAGCAUGGAGAGCUUGCUCUCUGAUGGCGAGUGGCGAACGGGUGAGUAAAGCAUCGGAACGUACCGUGUAGUGGGGGAUAACGUAGCGAAAGUUACGCUAAUACCGCAUACGCACUGAGGUGGAAAGCAGGGGAUCGUAAGACCUUGCGCUAUACGAGCGGCCGAUGUCAGAUUAGCUAGUUGGUAGGGUAAAGGCCUACAAAGGCGACGAUCUGUAGCGGGUCUGAGAGGAUGAUCCGCCACACUGGGACUGGAAGACGGCCCAGACUCCGACGGGAGGCAGCAGUGGGGAAUUUUGGACAAUGGGGGCAACCCUGAUCCAGCCAUGCCGCGUGAGUGAAGAAGGCCUUCGGGUUGUAAAGCUCUUUCGGCCGGGAAGAAAUCGCACAGGCUAAUACCCUGUGUGGAUGACGGUACCGGCAUAAGAAGCACCGGCUAACUACGUGCCAGCCGCCGCGGUAA